rnacentral:lncRNA from 1 species
UUUUGCAAAAAAAUGGCUAUUCAACCCGCGGUCCUUUUGUGAGUUAAAAAACGUUCCCAUCUAUCCUAUCCGCACGAGAACACGACGGUUCCUCCGCCCCUAUCCAGCAGGAUCCGCCGCAUCUCGAGCUCCCUCAAUGGCUAGAUGGCGCUGUGCUCUCUCAUUAGUAGGAUGCCGGCACUCGGUCUCAGGUCUGUCAAAUCAAUCACCGUUGUAUCUUUAGUUGCUGUCUAGAUGGCGGAAUUAUUUUUGACUGUAUGAAGCAAGUUCAUAGUGCCUCUGUGCGUGAUGAGUCGAGCGAUGGAAUCGACCUGGCCAGCCUGGAGAAGGAAGUAGAAGCUGCAGAAAAAUACUGUCAGGCGAUGAAGGAUGAAGUGGUUGCGAUGAGACUGAAAUACGCUGAUCUUUGAUGCUUUCUUAGUCUGUACAUACUAAAUAGUAGUCGAUGGAUUCGCGGUAUGCACCUGGUAGCUGAUCCUCUGAAUCUGAUCCAGAUUCUGGUUAUGAGGUUCAGGUUUCAAUGGACCUUUGGAAAGGUGCCGUACCGCAAACACAACCCGUGUAACGUUGAAUUGGCUGAAACAUGUUUCUUGUUUUUGCUCCUGCAAAUAGGGCCAUUGUGUUAGUGAAACUGAUACUUUAUUAGAGCAUGAUUGUUUUCCGUGAAAUAGAGACAUCUUAUCUUUUGAGCACACUACUGCAUUUUGCCUUUAUGAUUUUCUAACCGUGUCAAAUUUCGAACCCGAGCUUCCUUUCUGAGGCAACGCUAGCUGUCAAAGAAAUUUAGGAGCAGAAUUUUUGGGGGAUGAACUGCUUCUUGGUUAAUCCUUUUGCUUGCCUAGGAGCAGAAUUGCCUGUGACCUUUGCUGAAUAUACUUUACUUAAGAAUCAAUAUGUAGGUCCUAGCUUUUACAUCUUCAGUUUUCAAGUGUUCCAGAUCUUGCCAGCCUUGGGCUGAUCUUGUAUCAAUUGAUUUCGUUUUUUUGUGAUAAAUGGAGCAGGGGAGGUUGCCUCCCUGUUCAUCUAAAAUUAAAUUUACAUCUAUGCUGGUUCAUUAUUCUAUUGAAUUUGCAUAUCAUAACAGUGUCACUAUUAGGAAUAGAACCAUCAAGUCAUCUGACCAUAGUUUAUCUUGUUUUGUUCAGGGCAAAGCGACAAAUCCAACUCAUGAUCAACAACAAGCUGUAGGAUUUUUUGAUGAUGUUGAGGAUGACUUGACAGGACAUGAUAAAUGACUAAACUCGAGGUAAGGGAUGUUAUGAACCAGCCUCUGGAGUUAACGUUGCUAUUCCCUUUCAGUUCAAAGAAGGCUGACUCCUGAUCUUACAAACCAGUAGCGUGAUAUUAAAGUUGCAUCCUUUGAUGUAUAUUAAUCUAAUAUUUCUUAGGUUAUUUGGUCCUUGAAUCCUCAUAACAAAGCUAUUUGGAAAGCCAAACAGCCUCUCAAGAUUAAAUUGUUUUUUUGGCAACUUUUCAGGAUGCUGUUCUCAGUAGGGGUACACUAGGGGUAAUAUGAGGACGCGGAAUUGGUUGGGGUGCCCUAAAUGCUCUUUUUUGUGAGGAUUUUAUGACAUAAUCAAAAUUUCCAACAUUCAUUUUCCAAGGUAGAAUGAAUU